CAGUAAGUAGUUUAAUUUAAAAUGUCAAUUUUGGGGAUUGAGGUUAGGUUUAGGCCUUUUACUGA
rnacentral:tRNA from 1 species